rnacentral:piRNA from 1 species
UGACAGUGGCUUGACGAGUAGGCCUGUGUU